rnacentral:rRNA from 1 species
AUGGGUGCGGCUACAGACGAGGCGGAGGAGAAGGCGGACGCCGUGGGCUUGCUGCACGGCUACAGCCGAGGCGGAGGAGAAGGCGGACGCCGUGGGCGUUCAUGGAGGAUGGUACGCCGGCCGCGUCAAGUCCCCUGCCCCCGGCCGCCGGCGCCUGUUCUCGGCCUCCAUCGCCCGGAGGCGUGCCCCUGCUGUCGGCCUUCGCGUCUGCUUCGUCUGCAUCACGCCAGCGUCGCCCUCGUCGUCGCGGCGUUCUUCUGCUUCCGGCGUCGCCCCGUCGCCCAUGCGCCGAGUUCUGCUGCGGCCUCUGUUCUUCCGCAACGAGUAGCAGCAGGUCGUCUGCGGUUGCGGCAGCGGUGUAGGCGAGCGAGGCAGAGGAGCGUUCAACACCGGCGUCGAGGGCAAGGUAGGCCGGGUGCAGUGUCCUCCGGCGUGUGGUGGCGCAUUUGUACGGCGCAGGAGGCUGGGCGCGUCGAUUCGGGUGAGGGGAGUGGGGUCCAGAUCUGGUCGAGGACGGGGCAACCGGCGGCGGCGGCGUGGCUGACGCUGGACGGAGAGAGAGGCAGAGCAAGGCACGCCGAAUCGCUGGAUGGCGCACCUCCCCUAGCCUCCUUCCUCUCCCGGUCGUUGGGGAAGCAGGACGGCCACCUCUGCUGGACGCCCUUCCCUGGUCAACGCCCUGCUCGACGCCCCCAUCUGUUGCUCGAUGCGCCCAUCCCCUCGCUGGUUGAGCUCAACGCCACCUUGCUCUGCCUCCGGCAGUCAUUUCAUCCAAUCUGGCUGGUCCGCUCCCCACCUCGGCGGCUCCUUCAGUCCGGCAGCACACCACGCUCAAGCCUCCACCACCCCAACUCCUCAAGUAGACAAGGAGCUCCGCUCUACCUCUCAUCUCUCUCCCUGUCCUGGUGGUCACGGGCUGAUGUUGCUGCUCCUCUCCUUCAGGGCUUUUCUUUGGUGUAUCAGGCAUUCAGGCUGAACGAGGACGGAUCCAAGGUUGAGUACUGGGUGUGGAACCCCUUCAGAUCCAAGUUGGCUGCUGUUGUACUCUGUGGUGUGGACAACAUCUGGAUUUUUAGUAUAUUCCCGUUGGUUCUGUAG